rnacentral:rRNA from 1 species
GUAACUCCAACCCAUGUGAACGUUACCAAACUGUUGCCUCGGCGGGAUCUCUGCCCCGGGUGCGUCUCAGCCCCGGACCAAGGCGCCCGCCGGAGGACCAACCAAAACUCUUUUUGUAUACCCCCUCGCGGGUUUUUUUAUAAUCUGAGCCUUCUCGGGGCCUCUCGUAGGCGUUUCGAAAAUGAAUCAAAACUUUCAACAACGGAUCUCUUGGUUCUGGCAUCGAUGAAGAACGCAGCGAAAUGCGAUAAGUAAUGUGAAUUGCAGAAUUCAGUGAAUCAUCGAAUCUUUGAACGCACAUUGCGCCCGCCAGUAUUCUGGCGGGCAUGCCUGUCCGAGCGUCAUUUCAACCCUCGAACCCCUCCGGGGGGUCGGCGUUGGGGAUCGGCCCUGCCUCUUGGCGGUGGCCGUCUCCGAAAUACAGUGGCGGUCUCGCCGCAGCCUCUCCUGCGCAGUAUUUUGCACACUCGCAUCGGGAGCGCGGCGCGUCCACAGCCGUUAAACACCCAACUUCUGAAAUGUUGACCUCGGAUCAGGUAGGAAUACCCGCUGAACUUAAGCAUAUCAAAAGCGGAAGGAAA